CAUGGCAUAAAAUAAUACCAAUCAGUGUUCCCCAUUUUUGGAAAGGCAUGGAGUAGGGUGGCAGUAGAAAAGUGAAGUUUAGAGUUUGUGAUUCCAUCUGAUGUUGCAGGAGGGAUUAUCCAAGAGGAAGUAAAUCUAUGACCAAUUUAGAGAUCUGGCCACAGCGACCUUGAACUUUUCUUCCACUUUGUAUCUGAAAAUCUAUAAGCUGAGACCAGAAAGAUGCAGGCGGCAUCUCCCACCCCUUUAGCUGAUCUUUAUCCACUCUAUUCCUUCUCUAUAGUUACAACUCCACAGGGAUCCCAGUCUUUUACUUUUCCCUUAGCACCAUUCACUAAGGAGAGAUUUGGAGUCUUUCAAGGUAGAAUUCUGAGGGGAACAAUAAUGGCACUGCAUAUUUUCAUUAAGAGGACUCCUCGCCUCAGAAUACCAGAAGUUAUGCUAUAACCAGGACAUAAUCUGAGAGUAAUGCCAUUGUGAAGUCCAUAAAUAUGACAUCUAGGGUAAUGAGGACCUUCUAUGAAGUCACGUAAAAUCAAGGUUGGGCCAGGGCUUAAGCUUCCUGAAAGCCUGGGAGUCCUAGAUUACCGUGACUCAUUCAAAGGUCUUGGGGAAGUGUCAGUGAUGACUGCUGCCAAAAACUGGGUUGGAUUUGUAUGAAGCUUCGGGACAGGGUAAUCCAGCUGAUCCAGUGCGAUGACUUUGACAUGUAAUAGACCAAGGAAUUCAUUUGUGUCAGGGUAUGGAGCCUUCAGCUUGGACUCAUCUCCUGGGAUCCAUUGCUGGAAAUCAUGAGUUCACCAGGUAAUUAUGGAAACUGGCCAGCCAGCUCUAGCAUUCCAAGACUAACCUU
rnacentral:lncRNA from 1 species